AGGACGAACGCUGGCGGCGUGCUUAACACAUGCAAGUCGAGCGGUAAGGCCUUUCGGGGUACACGAGCGGCGAACGGGUGAGUAACACGUGGGUGAUCUGCCCUGCACUCUGGGAUAAGCCUGGGAAACUGGGUCUAAUACCGGAUAUGACCUGCUCUCGCAUGGGGGUGGGUGGAAAGAUUUAUCGGUGCAGGAUGGGCCCGCGGCCUAUCAGCUUGUUGGUGGGGUAAUGGCCUACCAAGGCGACG
rnacentral:rRNA from 1 species